GGCUCAGAGUGAACGCUGGCGGCAGGCCUAAUACAUGCAAGUCGAACGGCAGCACAGCAGAGCUUGCUCUGUGGGUGGCGAGUGGCGGACGGGUGAGGAAUACGUGGGAAUCUGCCCAGUCGUGGGGAUAACGUAGGGAAACUUACGCUAAUACCGCAUGCGCCCUUCGGGGAAAGCCGGGGACCUUCGGGCCUGGCGCGAUUGGAUGAGCCCACGUCGGAUUAGCUAGUUGGCGGGGUAAAGGCCCACCAAGGCGACGAUCCGUAGCUGGUCUGAGAGGAUGAUCAGCCACACUGGAACUGAGACACGGUCCAGACUCCUACGGGAGGCAGCAGUAGGGAAUAUUGGACAAUGGGCGCAAGCCUGAUCCAGCCAUGCCGCGUGAGUGAAGAAGGCCCUCGGGUUGUAAAGCUCUUUUGUCCGGAAAGAAAAGCGCCGGGUUAAUACCCUGGUGUCCUGACGGUACCGGAAGAAUAAGCACCGGCUAACUUCGUG
rnacentral:rRNA from 1 species